rnacentral:rRNA from 1 species
GGUUAAGCGACUAAGCGUACACGGUGGAUGCCCUGGCAGUCAGAGGCGAUGAAGGGCGUGCUAAUCUGCGAUAAGCGCCGGUAAGGUGAUAUGAACCGUUAUAACCGGCGAUACCCGAAUGGGGAAACCCAGUGUGACUCGUCACACUAUCAUUAACUGAAUCCAUAGGUUAAUGAGGCGAAC